GACGAACGCUGGCGGCGUGCUUAACACAUGCAAGUCGAACGGAAAGGCCCUGCUUUUGUUGCGUGCUCGAGUGGCGAACGGGUGAGACACACGUGAGUAACCCGCCCCUGACUUUGGGAUAUCUUCAGGUAACUCGGGCUAAUACCGGGUAGGAGCUCCUGCUGCAUGGUGGUGGAUGGCAAGUUUCGGCGUUUGGGGAUGGACUCGCGGCUUAUUUGCUUGUUGGUGGGGUUGUGGCUUACCAAGGCUUUGACGGCUAGCCGGCCUGGGAGGUGGACCGGCAACAUGGGGAUGAGGAUACGGCCCAGCGUCCAACGGGAGGCAGCAGUGGGAAAUAUGGCAAAAUGGGCGGAGGCCUGAGGCAGCACCGCCGGGUGGGGGAUGACGGCCUUCGGUUGGUAAACCGCUUCAGCCGGUGACGAAGUGUUUGUGACGGUAAUUGGUAAAGAAGCACCGGCUAACUACGUG
rnacentral:rRNA from 1 species